UCAUUACAACAGCUAUAAUCUACUCGAUCUUGAACAGUUACUCGGAUAACUGUGGUAAUUCUAGAGCUAAUACGUGCACCAAAGCUGUCCCUCACGGGGCAGUGCAUUUAUUUGAGCAAAACCAGGCGGCUUCGGCCGUUCAUGCUGACACAGAAUAACUAAGCUGAUCGCAUGGGCUUGUCCCGGCGACGUAUCGUUCGAGUAUCUGCCUUAUCAACUUUCGAUGGUAGUGUACGUGACUACCAUGGUUGUGACGGGUAACGGAGGAUAAGGGUUCGACUCCGGAGAAGGGGCCUGAGAAAUGGCCACUACGUCUAAGGAUGGCAGCAGGCGCGCAAAUUACCCACUCUCGGUUCGAGGAGGUAGUGACGAGACAUAACAAGGUCGUUCUCUACGAGGCCGACCAUUGGAAUGGGUACAACUCAAACCCUUUAACGAGUAUCAAUGAGAGGGCAAGUCUGGUGCCAGCAGCCGCGGUAAUUCCAGCUCUCAAAAUGCAUAGAAUUAUUGCUGCGGUUAAAAAGCUCGUAGUUGGAUUUGUGCCGGCGCCAUGGUCCACCCUAACGGGCGGCACUGUGUGCGUCGGCUUUGGGCCGGUCUUCUGGCCGGGUGCCUUCACUGGCGCUCCGGUCGUGGCUGGCUGGUUUACUUUGAGCAAAGCAGAGUGCUCAGCACAGGCGUUUCGCCGGAAUGUUCGUGCAUGGAAUAAUAGAACAGGAUCACGGUCCUCUUUUAUU
rnacentral:rRNA from 1 species